rnacentral:rRNA from 1 species
GACGAACGCUGGCGGCGUGCUUAACACAUGCAAGUCGAACGGAAAGGCCCUGCUUUUGUGGGGUGCUCGAGUGGCGAACGGGUGAGUAACACGUGAGUAACCUGCCCUUGACUUUGGGAUAACUUCAGGAAACUGGGGCUAAUACCGGAUAGGAGCUCCUGCUGCAUGGUGGGGGUUGGAAAGUUUCGGCGGUUGGGGAUGGACUCGCGGCUUAUCAGCUUGUUGGUGGGGUAGUGGCUUACCAAGGCUUUGACGGGUAGCCGGCCUGAGAGGGUGACCGGCCACAUUGGGACUGAGAUACGGCCCAGACUGCUACGGGAGGCAGCAGUGGGGAAUAUUGCACAAUGGGCGGAAGCCUGAUGCAGCAACGCCGCGUGCGGGAUGACGGCCUUCGGGUUGUAAACCGAUUUCGCCUGUGACGAAGCGUGAGUGACGGUAAUGGGUAAAGAAGCACCGGCUAACUACGUG